rnacentral:rRNA from 1 species
CGCGGCCUAUCAGCUUGUUGGAGAGGUAACGGCUCACCAAGGCAUCGACGGGUAGCUGGUCUGAGAGGAUGAUCAGCCACACUGGAACUGAGACACGGUCCAGACUCCUACGGGAGGCAGCAGUGGGGAAUCUUGCACAAUGGGCGCAAGCCUGAUGCAGCAACGCCGCGUGCGGGAAGAAGGCCCUAGGGUUGUAAACCGCUUUCAGUAGGGAAGAAAAUGACGGUACCUACAGAAGAAGGUGCGGCCAACUACGUGCCAGCAGCCGCGGUGACACGUAGGCACCAAGCGUUAUCCGGAUUUAUUGGGCGCAAAGAGCUCGUAGGCGGUUUGGUAAGUCGGGUGUGAAAACUCUGGGCUCAACCCAGAGAGGCCACCCGAUACUGCUAUGACUAGAGUACGGUAGGGGAGCGGGGAAUUCAUGGUGUAGCGGUGAAAUGCGCAGAUAUCAUGAGGAACACCAGCGGCGAAGGCGCCGCUCUGGGCCGUAACUGACGCUGAGGAGCGAAAGCAUGGGUAGCAAACAGGAUUAGAUACCCUGGUAGUCCAUGCCGUAAACGUUGGGCACUAGGUGUGGGUCUCAACCAACGAGAUCCGCGCCGUCGCUAACGCAUUAAGUGCCCCGCCUGGGGAGUACGG